AAGCGUUUGGGCACAAGGUGAUGACCUAUGAAUUGACAGCCAGUUACUUCUAACACCUGCCUGUCAGUUCUGUAGGCCACUGCUGCGUUUGUCCCCCU
ensembl:miRNA mir192 microRNA mir-192